AAAAAAAACACAGUUUUGAUUCAAAUGGGUUCAACCGCCCAGAAGCAGUCAAGCAUCCCAGUUUGAAGGUCUGGUUGUACUAAUGGCUACCUACAGACAGCCCACUGAGUUUUUCGUCACCCGUGCUACACAACAUUAACCGCGGGGAACAUCGCAGGACUCGGCUAUCAAUAAUAAAAUAACAGAAUCCCUAUAAAACUUAUUUGAUUCAUUUAGGCACCAAAAAACAGGCAGUCCGAUUUUGAAAAACUUCGGCCUGCGUUAAUUACUUUGGUUCUUCUGCGAAUCUCCUCAUUCCUGGUUCGAUUUCGCGGGGAAACUUGAUUAAUUACCGACAGCAUGAAAGAAUGAAGAUAGUCGAAAAAUUUCAAGGCUUAUCCAUGAAUGCGGCGUUCAGAAAACGGAUCUGAGCGCAUUUUCAAGGUCAUUGCACUUGGUUCGUAGAAAAAAAAUUAAAAUAGUUUGUGAAAUAAUAAAAUUAUGACGUUAAUAGAACGAAAGCGUGCCGCGGGCUAAAAAUAUCUGAGGCAACGACCCCAAAAUUUCAUUAUGGCCACUGACAACGUCAAAACCAUGAAGAGCUAAUGAAAAUGUUUACGGACUUUUUGGCGGGAACGCGAGGAGUGAAGUUCUGUGAUUUGUUUUAUUUUGUCUAUUUAGUGUUUAUUCAGGUUUAAAUGUGUAAUAACGGUGGUUUAUUAACUGUUUAAUAUCUGUGAAAGUGCACUAAUGUGGGAGAAUGAAACAAAGCCGCCGGACGUAACUUUUUGAGAUCCUCCAAAAUUAUUUAUUUUACUAGAUGUCUAUGGGAUCCGAUAACAACUUAGCACCAAGUGGGCUGUGAGCUCAACCAACUAUCUAUGCAAUAAAAAUGAAAUAAAAAGAACAUGACUUCAAUUUUUUUUUCUACUACCUAAUCGUUGGUAGACUAAGGGCUCUUUCAACUCACGGGCUCAACCUGAGAGAAUUUGCUAACACUGGCCCUAGCAAGAGCAGCGCUGAAUUUACCACCGGAUCCGAAUCGCGACCUACUGAGAAGAUCCGGCGAGAAACUCAGUGGAUUUGCAGUGAGACUGCUCCACCACCCAAAACAGCAAUCAAAAACCAUCUAGUGCCGUUUCCAAACGUGGACCCAACGCCCCACAAGAGGGUAAUUUGAUAAUUAAGGAGGGGCAAUUGCACUAAAUUAACAUAGAAAAUCUGUAUGAAGUAAAAUUAUUUUGAAUUUGAAUUUUAGUUUUUUUAUUAUAUGUUUUGAAAUAUUA